CAACAUUGUACCAAUGCUUAGGCAACAUUGUUCUAUCUGGAGGAGACGACUUCCAGAGUCAACUAAAAAGCCAUUUUAUUAGAAAAUGCUCUUGAUUCUCUGUAUUUGUACCAAUGCUUAGGCAACAUUGUUCUAUCUGUGGCUUGUGAGAACAAAGAAGUUACCAGUGACUUCCCGGAGUGGUAAUCCAACAAUGCGAGCUUCGACAGUUCUACUCUGUAGUGUUGUUCUAAUUCAGCUGUUUGCGGCUCAAAGUGAUGCUUAAAGAUCAAGAAGUCCAUGGCAGACACUCAAUGGUGAGAAUUCUCUCACUUACUAUCUCUUUGUUAGUUUCGUUACGCAUGAUUUUCCGAGAAGAUAGUAAAAACCUAGAGAAAUAAAAACAGAUAUGUAGUAAAAGAGGUUUGGAGAAUCAUAGAUAAGUCUCCUUUAUCAAAAUAACUUGUCACUGCUGUUCUGUUUCUUACCAGGUGAUGCUCCUCUAGUGAUUGCUCGUGGUGGGUUUUCUGGAUUGUUUCCAGAUUCAAGUAUUGAUGCUUACAGCUUCGCAAUGCCAGACAAGUGUAGCCGGUGCUGUUCUAUGGUGUGAUGUUCAGCUAACCAAAGAUGGACGUGGGGUUUGCUUCCCUGAUUUAAAAUUGAACAAUGCUUCAAAUAUUGGAGAUCUUUUCCCAAAUCGCCAAAAAUCUUACCCGGUUAAUGGAGUCACUACUCAGGGUUGGUUCACCCUUGAUUUCUCCUUGAGAGAUCUCAAUAAUGUUUCUUGUAAGUAUUU
rnacentral:lncRNA from 1 species